UACGAAGGGGGGCUAGCGUUGCUCGGAAUUACUGGGCGUAAAGGGCGCGUAGGCGGACAGUUAAGUCAGAGGUGAAAGCCCAGGGCUCAACCCUGGAAUUGCCUUUGAUACUGGCUGUCUUGAGUACGGGAGAGGUGAGUGGAACUCCGAGUGUAGAGGUGAAAUUCGUAGAUAUUCGGAAGAACACCAGUGGCGAAGGCGACUCACUGGCCCGUUACUGACGCUGAGGCGCGAAAGCGUGGGGAGCAAACAGG
rnacentral:rRNA from 1 species